rnacentral:lncRNA from 1 species
GUUAUUCCUUUAAACAAACCUAAGAAUUUAAACAAAUACAGUACAAUAUUUAAAGGAUGGAUCAAGGUGGCUUUUUAUCCACAAUUAUCUUUAUAGCCGACUCAUAAGAAUAUAUAUUCGAAACAAGUCUAAAUACUAGGAAAACUUGAUGAAUACUAAUAGAAGCAUGCCGUUAACCUGAUUUUGGAAGAUAAUUCUACUCUCUGAAUCAUCUUUUCGAGAGUGAAUCCAUGUAUUAGCACUAAAGAAUAUAGGGCCUUCAUUAAAGUUAUGAACAACAAUCUCGCACAUAAGACUCCGCAACCUUUCCCGAUUUGGUAACUUCAAAACUGAGUUUGAACUUUGUAUUAACUAAAUUGAGUUGUAAAUACAAGCCUAGCAACUGAACACUUCUGGAUCAAAGAUUUGCUGGCAUCAACGAGUGGAACCUGCGACCGGAGACCUCAAACGGUGAUCUCAAACAAAACUCAAAUUAGAUGCUUUGAACAGAUCUCACCAGAUUCAACUCGGUUGAGCUCGAAUGAUAAUUUUGGACAUCACAAGAGUUGUUUAUGCUGGAAUUUGAUCUUUGGUCAUCGUUUGGUGGUUCGCCAGAUCCGUCACCUUCUGGCGUAACAAUAACGAUCAAAAAUUGCUUAGCAGAUGAGCUUCGUUUGGGUGGUGGACGGCUGGUCUAGAUUCGAAACAGAGAAGGUGGAAAAGGGUUGAAGAAGGAGAAAGGUCGCUGGUUGAGGGCUGGUGGUGGUUGUGGUCGUUUGGGGUCAGGUGAAGAAGCUCUUUUCCAUGUGAAGGAAGAUGAUCUCGCUGGUUUGGUUUUUGUCAAGAUAAUGAAGAAUGGCUGCUUCUCUUUGCAUAGAAUAUGACAUUUUUGGGUGUCUCCUUUUCGUUGAUUAGCGUUACUUUAUAGUUAGAGUCUAGAUUUAG